rnacentral:rRNA from 1 species
UACGAAGGGUGCUAGCGUUGUUCGGAAUCACUGGGCGUAAAGCGCGCGUAGGUGGCUUGUCACGUCUGCCGUGAAAGCCCAUGGCUUAACUGUGGGUCUGCGGUGGAUACGGGCUGGCUAGAGGUAGGUAGGGGCAAGCGGAAUUCCUGGUGUAGCGGUGAAAUGCGCAGAUAUCAGGAGGAACACCGGUGGCGAAGGCGGGUCUCUGGGCAGUAACUGACGCUGAGGAGCGAAAGCGUGGGGAGCGAACAGG